rnacentral:rRNA from 1 species
AUUGAACGCUGGCGGCAGGCCUAACACAUGCAAGUCGAGCGGAGCGGCGGAUGUGUGAGUAAUGCCUAGGAAUCUGCCCGGUAGUGGGGGAUAACGUCCGGAACCGGGCCCUAAUACCGCAUACUAGCAGCUGAGCCUAGGUCGGAUUAGCUAGUUGGUGGGGUAAAGGCCUACCAAGGCCACGAUCCGUACCUGGUCUGCGAGGAUGAUCAGGCACACUGGACCUGAGACACGGUCCAGACUCCUACGGGAGGCAGCAGUGGGUAAUAUUGGACAAUGGGCGAAAGCCUGAGCCAGCCAUGCCGCGUGUGUGAAGAAGGUCUUCGGAUUGUAAAGCACUUUCAGUUGGGAGGCGUUACCAACAGAAUAAGCACCGGCUAACUUCGUGCCAGCAGCCGCGGUAAUUC